rnacentral:rRNA from 1 species
AUGCCCAUGCGCAUCUUGAUGGAUGAUGUGUACAUAUACCAUGCACACACAAUUUUCUCUUUGUCUUUGUUUUGUGUAGGUACUCAUGUAUACUCGUCAACCUCUCAAUCCCAAGAGUUGACGAAACGAGCUCUUGAGAGCAACGACACUUUGGGAUCCCGUGGACUAUCCUUACCACCAUUCCCUUCGCGCAAGGACUACGCGCAUCUCUUCUACUUGGCUCUCACACGGCUAUGGGCUAUUUACCACUUGUCACCCUAUGCCCAUACUAUCGUGUUCACUUUGCAUGUUAUGCCUCUUUACAUGAUUUUGCCAUGCAAUUGUGACCCUUGCUUGCAUCUACCCAUGAUUCACCAUUAUGAUACUUCUAUGUGUAUUUGCAUGCUUGGUGGAGAUACUUGUAGCUAUUGCCUCGAUUUCUUUGUGCCCCAUGCUAUUGAUGCUUGUUGUGUUGGGAGAGUCAUGAUGACCCAUUGCUAUUUACAUAUGGCUUCUCACCAAUACAUUCAUGCUAUUUUCCUCAUAUCUUGCUUUCAUGCUUGUGAUAUGUCAUGUGCAUUAUUCAUGCCCACUAUUUGCAUACAUGACAUGAUUGCCAUGAUUCCUUCUAGUAUGUUGCAUCUUUGCACUACUAGCUUGCUUGACUUGAUUUCUAUGAUUGCUUGCUUGGUUGCAUCACCCAUGUUCCACUCUUACUCGCUUUCUUGGGUUGAUGACAUAUAUGUUCAUGCCUCUCACGUGAUAUAUCUUGAUCAUUGUCUCUUGUGUCCAUUAGUUGCCUCUUUCAUAUCCACUUGUAUUGAGUGCAACCAUACUAUACUUAUUGAUCCUAGAGACUUUGACAACUUACUUGUGAUGCAUGCUUGUUUACUUGAGCCUAUUGUAUUUGGUUGUUCUUGCAUCAUAUGCCUCCAUACUAUGAAAUGCUCCCUCGUACUUUCUUAUGAUGAGCAUGAUGCAUACACUUGUUGGGUAUCUUACCACUCGAAUGAUAGGUUUUGCAUUUUCGCUAACCUCAUUUGUUUUUCUGAGUGUUUAUCAUGUUCUUUCAUUUUGGAGGAUUCACAAGGCGGUGCCGUUAUGCGACAUAUUGGUUAUGUGAAGGCAUACAUGAUGUACAACUCCAACAUCUUUGGGAACUUUUUGAGGUGA